UCCUCGGUGGCGCAAUUGGCUAGCGCGUCGUAAGUUACAUUGAAAUAAAUGAACGAAAUAAUAAUGUCUAACAUGAACCAGUGACUGUUAAUCAGGAGGUUGAAAGUUCGAGCCUUUCCCGGGGAG